AGAAAAUGACGGUACCUGACUAAGAAGCCCCGGCUAACUACGUGCCAGCAGCCGCGGUAAUACGUAGGGGGCAAGCGUUAUCCGGAUUUACUGGGUGUAAAGGGAGCGUAGACGGUUAAGCAAGUCUGAAGUGAAAGCCCGGGGCUCAACCCCGGUACUGCUUUGGAAACUGUUUGACUUGAGUGCAGGAGAGGUAAGUGGAAUUCCUAGUGUAGCGGUGAAAUGCGUAGAUAUUAGGAGGAACACCAGUGGCGAAGGCGGCUUACCGGACUGUAACUGACGUUGAGGCUCGAAAGCGUGGGGAGCAAACAGGAUUAGAUACCCUGGUAGUCCACGCCGUAAACGAUG
rnacentral:rRNA from 1 species